rnacentral:lncRNA from 1 species
CUCGCUUUGUCGGCUGCCCAUGGAAGUCUGCAUAAAAGGGAACCCAGCAUUCCAUAGGAUUCCCACCGUCAUCCUCCCACCUUUCCCGCUAUUCUCCUACCCACACCCCUGCAGCAAGAUGACUCAGAUUGGGCAAUAAAUUCACAAGCUUUCCAGAAGCCGGGCACAGUGAAACAAGCCGGACUGCGUUCACAACAGUUGUGAGACCAAGGAGAGAGCAUCACAAGUUCAAGGCCAGCUCGAACUACACAUCGAGCUUCUGUCUAAAACAAGCAAAUAAAACUUGUCAAUCAACACACCUUCCAAACUGUUGAGAGGUGCCGAUACAACUGGCCAAUGUCAAUGAACUCGGCAGCCUUCGGACUGGCCGGGGGACCUUUCCUCUGCCCAGCGCCUGGGCUGAUGUCGCUGGUGAGCCUCGGAAAGGAGCUUCCUCCUCCCCCGAGGACUACUUAACUGGCAGGUGGAAUGAAAGGAGUUUUGUCUGAGAUGUGUACUGUAAAAUCCAGCUCACGUGGGAAGAUCGUCGCGAAUAAAGAGCUCCUGCUUGCAUCUUGAAAUGAAAGGGGGAACGUUCUCACCCUAUCACCGGAUAAACAUGCACUUAACAGUUUC